rnacentral:rRNA from 1 species
UACGUAGGGCGCAAGCGUUGUCCGGAAUUAUUGGGCGUAAAGAGCUCGUAGGCGGCCUGUUGCGUCCGCUGUGAAAUCCCGGGGCUCAACCCCGGGCCUGCAGUGGAUACGGGCUGGCUAGAGGCAGGCAGGGGAGAACGGAAUUCCUGGUGUAGCGGUGAAAUGCGCAGAUAUCAGGAGGAACACCGGUGGCGAAGGCGGGUCUCUGGGCAACUACUGACGCUGAGGUGCGAAAGCGUGGGGAGCAAACAGG